rnacentral:rRNA from 1 species
UACGAAGGGGGCUAGCGUUGCUCGGAAUCACUGGGCGUAAAAGGGUGCGUAGGCGGGUCUUUAAGUCAGGGGUGAAAUCCUGGAGCUCAACUCCAGAACUGCCUUUUGAUACUGAGGAUCUUGAGUUCGGGAGAGGUGAGUGGAACUGCGAGUGUAGAGGUGAAAUUCGUAGAUAUUCGCAAGAACACCAGUGGCGAAGGCGGCUCACUGGCCCGAUACUGACGCUGAGGCACGAAAAGCGUGGGGAGCAAACAGGG